rnacentral:rRNA from 1 species
GCUCAGGUGUGCCAGCAGCCGCGGUAAUACGUAGGGGGCAAGCGUUAUCCGGAUUUACUGGGUGUAAAGGGAGCGUAGGCGGCGAUGCAAGUCAGAAGUGAAAGCCCGGGGCUCAACUCCGGGACUGCUUUUGAAACUGUGUUGCUAGAUUGCAGGAGAGGUAAGUGGAAUUCCUAGUGUAGCGGUGAAAUGCGUCGAUAUUAGGAGGAACACCAGUGGCGAAGGCGGCCUGCUGGACCGAAACUGACGUUGAGGCUCGAAAGCGUGGGGAGCAAACAGG